rnacentral:rRNA from 1 species
AUGCACGCUGGCGGCGUGCCUAAUACAUGCAAGUCGAGCGAACAGACGAGGAGCUUGCUCCUCUGACGUUAGCGGCGGACGGGUGAGUAACACGUGGAUAACCUACCUAUAAGACUGGGAUAACUUCGGGAAACCGGAGCUAAUACCGGAUAAUAUAUUGAACCGCAUGGUUCAAUAGUGAAAGACGGUUUUGCUGUCACUUAUAGAUGGAUCCGCGCCGCAUUAGCUAGUUGGUAAGGUAACGGCUUACCAAGGCAACGAUGCGUAGCCGACCUGAGAGGGUGAUCGGCCACACUGGAACUGAGACACGGUCCAGACUCCUACGGGAGGCAGCAGUAGGGAAUCUUCCGCAAUGGGCGAAAGCCUGACGGGGCAACGCCGCGUGAGUGAUGAAGGUCUUCGGAUCGUAAAACUCUGUUAUUAGGGAAGAACAAAUGUGUAAGUAACUAUGCACGUCUUGACGGUACCUAAUCAGAAAGCCACGGCUAACUACGUG